CACAUUCUGGCUAGGCUAAUAAAUGCCUUCGGGCAGAUAGCCUAGUACCCACCUAUGAACUCCGAGAACGCACUACCGUGGGGGUGCGGGUCAAAGUUCACAGGGAUGGCCAAACGGUUCCUUACUGUGUGGUGAUCGUCAGCUCUCCAAUUGUCGAUGUUCUGAGGUGUCGAUGCAGUGGAUUUUGAUGUUGUGGCCGUUCGAUGUACUGACGGUAACCCACAUACAUGCAUACACACACACACACACACACACACACACACACACACACACACACACACACACACACACACACUGUUUUGAUGAUUUGUGCAUCUACUUUUUUUUGCAUAAACUGGGGUUUAAAGUCUUUACAUGACUUCUUACACACUCACACGCUCUCCAUUCUGUCGUUGCGCAAAGAAGGAAAUGCUUGAGAGCUCAAUGUGCCUUACUGACAGAAAAGAAGGUAUUGUGUAGCUGUUGGUCCCACCAUUGCCCCUGUUGCCAUCGAGCUAGCUGUCUGUCUGAUGAAACAUGACCCCUGGUCGUCAUGAGAGACCACAGGAGCUGCUGGCCUCUUCACACCCAAAAUAAUUCAGGACAUCUGGCAUAGCUCCUUCACACUGCAUCAGCUAGCUGCUGAGUAAAUUGGCAUAGAAUAUGUACAAUAAACAGUUUAACUGGUGUCUUAUCACUGUGCUGGUGAUUAGCUGUAAAGUAAUUGUAUGGGCUAGUUUAUGUCAAGAAGUAUAGAAGUUAACAGAACACCAGCGUGUUUUGUUUAGCUUAGUUUAACCAUCUGUUUUCCCAGCCAGCUUUCAUAUGUUUCAAGGGCAGACUAUACAUCUGUCAGACAUCAGGCUCAAGGUGAGAACUAGCCCAAAAUAGACUGCAGUCCACCACAGGACAGACACACUCACAUAAACACCUAGGACUAGUUUAGCAUUGCCAGUCCAUCUACCAGGAUUUCUUUGGACUGUUGGAGGAAAGCAAGAGAUCCAAAUAACAACUUGGAUAAAAAUUACCCCAACCAAGAAUACUCAAACUGCUGCCACCCUUUUCAUCAUAAACUAGUUGUAAGAUUUACUGGUAUUAUAUGAUCUUGCAUGAUAUAAAGUCAGAUGAUGAUCCUUUUGCUCAAUACAGAGUUGAAAAGGGGUGGUAACAGUACCUGCAAAUUUUAGUAAAAUAUGUACCGGCUGAGAGGGUACUGGACUCCCAAGGAAUUUUCUGUGCGCCUUUGAUACGGCUAGGGCAUGACAGAUUACCAGGGGCUUGUUGCAGAGUAGACAUAUUAAAAUAAAUUUAAAAAAUAAAUAACUGUGUUUGACAGGAAUGUAUGGCUACCUUAGGAUAUUGUGUAAAUCAUCACUGUUUCUGACACUGAGUGUUAUUUAACUUUGUACUGGUUCAUCUGGCCAUGUCCCACCCCAGAACCUGCUAAAUUUUACCACACAAGUUAUAAGCAGUCAAAUUCCCACAUGCUUUAUAGUAUUCUGCACUUCAUAGUUGGGGUUGUUGACUUGUGAAGAAUUCUAAAUUUUGCAAUGCUUUUCUGACUAUCACCAUAAGUUGAGAUAGCAAAUCUGUCUCAUUUCAUUUUUUUUUUUGAAGGGGCAAGUCUAAGCAUUAUAACAUACUACUGUAAAUUUGUGUUUAUUUAUCAUCUAAUUAACAGUUUAAUUUAAUAGAUAUGCUAAUAAUAUCCUAGAUCACAAGUUUAUAACCACUUGACAUUUGUCUGAAAAUUUCACCUUGGAAUUCUGAAUUGGAGAUUCAAGGUCCUUACUUGCCCUCAUAAAAACCCUAUUAUGAUGGGGUUGAUUUUGGCACUUUAGCAGUGUAGUUAAAUAGAACUUAAUGUUUGUUUUCAUAAAUGCAGCUGACCCACUGCAAACUUUAUGAACCCUGCAGCCUUUGAUAUCCACCUCCUGUGUAAAAUGGUCAGCAGUAACCCAAUAGAAGUAGCUAGUCACUAUAAUGUAAACAUCUGUAUGUAGUCCUCAUCUGAACUUUAUUUAGAUAGGGGAUUUUCAUUUUGUCCUUUUCCCAGAAUUUAGCAUAGUGUUUUCAAAACUUGAGUCUGGAAUAGAAGCACUGAUAUUAAUCAGUCAGAUGCUUGUAAUUUCUAUGGGACUGCAAUCUCAUAAAUGUGCUGCAUAAGUUGCUCACAGCAAAUGGUUGCUGUUCGUGUAAGGAGUGUAUAUUUUAAUCCAAAAUGCAAAUAUUUAAAAAAGAAGGCAUUUCAGCAUAACAGAAAUGUGAGCCUUUACCACCUGAGUCAUGAGGACUUUUAAAGUGCCACAUGUUAUAUACAUUUUUGAAAUUCUUAUGGGUAUUAUAUUAAAGUGGUUAUGUAGGUGACAGUGAUUUUUUUCCCCCUCUUUAUAAGAUUGUCACCUAAAAGAGAAGAUUAUAAAGCUGCUCCAAUGGUGUAGUAGGAUAAAAGCACUGACAAUGGCCCAGGUUGCUUAGGUUCAUUUAGCAGCUCAGGCAAUUGAUGGUGCAGCAGAAAGGGAAGGACUUGGCCAUCCUGGGUGGGAGAGCACUUGUUGAUGACUCUACCUAAGCCGAGCUAUAGUCCAAAGAAGGGAGUUAUCCUCAGUUGUAGUCAGCAAGUUUUGGGGUGGGAAAAGAGAAUGGGUAUGGCAUAUAAAAAGAAUAGGGGGUGGCUGGUAGACCAGGUGUGAAUGUGAGGCACUGGGGGCUGGGCAGGUAGAAUGAGGUCUGCGGUGACCAAACAAUGUAAAAAAAAAAAAAAAAUGAUUAUAAAUUAUGAGGAAAUUGUUUUUCAGUUUUAAGACAGUGGUUAUGUAUGGACACAAUUUGGAUAGCAGAACUUAAUAUAAAACUUGUUUUGGGGGAAAAAAACGGGAUAUUUAACUUAAAUAAGUACUGGACCCCCUGAAUGUUUUAAGUUCUAGUUGUCUGUGUGACUGUUCUAUUAAAGUUAUAAGUUUUAGUGAUUGUGAGUCAAUAGUGUGUAAAAUGGAAUUAAGGUUGUCUGCUCCUUUGUUUGCUACUGAACUAAAAUUAAUGUUUAUAAAUAUUGCAGACAUUUUUAUUUAAACUAAAACAAGAGUGAAUGUUUUCAAAUGUUGAAGAAAUGUUAUUUAAAUUAAAACAAACUCAGAUAAAUUAGAA